UACUGGAAGAUGAGAUUAGUUUAACUAGGCAUCAUGUUCGGGACAAACAUUGUGGCUGAAGUGCCCAUUUCUGUGCUGUACUGUUCUAUGUUCCAUAUGUAGGAACUUUCUUCCAUGGGCAGCGAUGAGCACAGGUGGUUCAUCGCUGACCAUAACUUAUGUGCCAAAGGAAGCACUGGGGUAAAUGCUGUCUCUAGUGGAUGGGGCCAUACAGACCAAAAAGGGGUUGGAUGAUUCUCCUUGCAGCACUUCUGAAAUUGAUUUAUUUAGGUGUGAAUACAAUGGACCACAUGGAGCACUUUGGGAAAUGCAUUUGUACUGCGUUGUCAAUCUUUCUGGGUACUGAGAAUUAAUGAAUGAGCCAGUCAAUAUUAAUGAGCUUGGUGGUAGAAACUAGGAUGAUCAGACUAAUAUUUCGUUGAAACUCACAACAGAGCUGCCAUUCUGUGAUCAUCAGGUUCUGUUGCUGGGCACAUGGUCACUAGGUGAACCUGUGUCACAAUGCGAUGUCCAUUGCAUCACUGCUGAAAUGGAACAUGUUCUGUUGUUGGAUACAUUAGAGCUUUAUUUCAAUGCUGAAAGUGUUAGAUUUGGGAUCCUUUUGAAGAUGUCUGCUAUGUACUCUGACACUGAUGAGUAUGACAUCAUUACUGUUUUAGGAAAGGGAACAUUCGGAGAAGUGACAAAAUGUUGGAAAAGGAACUCUGACCACUAUGUGGCCAUAAAGAUAUUACGAAACUAUAACUUCCGGAAAGGGGUCAUCAAAUGCGAGUUAAAAAUACUGAGGAUUUUGCAAUCUGUGGAUUCAGACAAGUUUUGCAUUGUUCGUUUUUUGGAGUCCUUCACUGAUGAUACCAAGCUUUGCUUUGUGUUUGAGCUUCUGGACCAAAAUCUGUAUGAGUAUCAAAAGGAAAAUGACUUUGUUCCACUACCGAUCAGGCAUAUUCGCUCCAUCACAAAGCAGGUGCUGAUUGCUCUACAGAAAUUGAAGGAGCUCUCUAUUGUUCACACAGACAUCAAACCUGAAAAUAUCAUGCUUGUUGAAAAGGCCAAAUUUCCCUUCAAAGUUAAACUGAUUGAUUUUGGUUCUGCUUGUAUUUUGCCUGACAUUCAGAAGAUUAAAGGACCAUACAUCCAAUCUAGAUUUUACCGUUCACCUGAGAUCUUACUUGGCUUACCCUUCUCUGAGAAGCUGGACAUGUGGUCUCUAGGUUGUGUUAUGGCAGAGCUUCAUCUUGGUUGGCCAAUUUACCCUGGUACCAAUGAGUAUGAUCAGAUCAGGUACAUUGUUGAUGCACAAGGGCUACCAUGUGAUCAACUGUUGGAAACUGCCAGUAAAACUCACCACUUCUUUAAAAAGGCUCGUCAGCCUAAUUCAACAUAUCAAUGGAGGCUCAAAUCAAUGGAUGAGUAUCAAGCAGAGACGAUGGUGCAACCUCUGGAGACCAGAACAAAACCUUUGUAUUCACUUGACCAACUAGCAACCAUCUUUACCAAAACUAUUUUCCCGGAUAAGGAGCUGAAAGCGGAACUAUUUGACCAAUUUAUGAUGGUGGCUCUCAUAAAGAAAAUUCUUAUCUUUGAUCCCAGGCAGCGCGCUACUGUGAGUACAGCUUUAAAGCACCCAUUUCUCACAAUGCAGAAGCUCAAAUCAAAAUACAACAAUACAAAAUACUACAAGAUAUCUGCGCAAGCCUUUAGUCUUGCCUUAACCCCAAGUAAAAAAGUGGAACAUCAUUAUUUGUGUUGUCAAACGUUCAAGCAGUGUUGUCAUUUAGAUAAUGAACAAUAUGAGCCAAACCAGGCACCGCAAAAUAUUAAAUCCAUUGACCAACUAACAGAAGAUGAGUUGGAAGAUUCAGCUAUUGAAGAAUCUGAGAAGGAGGUUAGCAACAAGGAAUCAAAUAUUAUUGAUGGAGAUUUGAGCCAUGGCGGGCCAUCAUUAAGUAAUCGACAAGCAAUUUUCAAUUCCUUUAAACUGAUUGGACGGAUAUGGUCUAGACCGAGGAGAUCACCAAUCAGUGUCCAGCUAAGUGAACCUGAUCCCUCUGCGGCUGUUCUGAAAGGACAGACUGUGGAACUGGGAAAUGAAGACGGUGCGCAUCUAGAUAUGGAGAGGAACAGGGUAAAUUUUGACUCUUGGUCAAUGCUGCCACAAAAUGAGAACAUGCCUCCGAUUAUUCCAAUCGAGAAAGAUCAACUCAAAGUUGAAGAUGCAGCAUCAGCAAAGGGGAAAGCAAACUCCAGACCGGCAAAGAUUUCCAUAUCCUUCAACAGCAAUUCCUGACAGAAAAGAGCCAAAAGCUGGUGAGGGAGAUUCAACUGACAGAACAUACGCUGCAUUCAGUGAUGGCCGGAUUAUAAACAGGAAAAAUAACCAGAACACAAGAUGAGAAGAAACUACCCCAAUCCUUGGUAUAACUGAAAGACUGUGGGUUUGGGUUUAUUGUUAUUAAUCACUCAUAUCCUUGGGAAUUCAGUUUAUUUAUUUCAAGUAUGAAAACUUCGCAAUUUUGAACUUCAAAAAAUUAAGAAAUUAUUUUUCAAAAAAUAUGUAUAGUUACUAAAAAUGUUGUUGCAAUAUUUUUUGUGUGCACAGUGUGUGUGUGUCUGUGGGUGUUUGUGUUCACAUUACUAAAAAUAAAUUGGUUACUAUCCUGAAUAUUUUCUGCAUACAGUUGCUUUAUUUUUUACAUUUUUCAGUAUAUGAGUGUGGUGGGAAAUUGCAACCAUCACGUGGUCCACCCUGUUUCGACUAAUGCAAUCAACCCGACGUGCACAAACAAAAGAUCAAAUAGAAUAAAUUGACCUACAACUUUAGGCUGUGCACGCCAUAAGCAAGAAGAAGAAAUAUAUGGGUCUUUAUAUAUAACUUGGAAAACGCAGAAUUCAUUUUAUGUUCAUUGUCCCUUCUAAUAAGUUGGGAUAGAAUUUUGACUUUUCUCUUGAGUUUACUUUAGAGAUACAGCAUAGAAACAGACCCUUUUGUCCACUGAGUCAAUGCAGACCAUCGAUCACCCGUUCACACUAGUUCUAUGUAAUCCCACCUUCACAUCCACUCCCUACACACUUGAGGCAAUUUACAGAGGCAAUUAACCUACAAACCCGCUCGUCCUUUGGAUGUGGGAGGACGCGGGAACACCCAUAGGAAAACCCACACACAUGAAGAUCCCAUGAGAUACAAUUAUAGUCAUACAGUCAUAUAGCAGGGGAACAGGUCCUUCAACCCAACUCAUCCGUUGAGCAGGAAGCCCCAUCUAAGUUAUUCCCAAUUAUUUCACUCUUUAAAAAAUGGUUAUUCCA